rfam:Apaloderma vittatum contig27058, whole genome shotgun sequence.
UAGCUCAGCCAGUUGAGCAUAGUGCUAACAACGCUAAGGUCAUGGGUUCGAUCCCAU